rnacentral:rRNA from 1 species
UACGAAGGGGGCGAGCGUUGUUCGGAAUUACUGGGCUUAAAGAGUGCGUAGGCGGACUAGUAAGUUAGAAGUGAAAGCCCUGGGCUUAACCCGGGAACUGCUUUUAAGACUGCAAGUCUAGAAACCGGAAGAGGUUGGCGGAAUAUCCAGUGUAGAGGUGAAAUUCGCAGAUAUUGGAUAGAACACCAGUGGCGAAGGCGGCCAACUGGUCCGGUCUUGACGCUGAGGCACGAAAGCGUGGGUAGCAAACAGG